rnacentral:rRNA from 1 species
CGCUGUCACUCCUACGGGAGGCAGCAGUGGGGAAUAUUGCACAAUGGGCGCAAGCCUGAUGCAGCCAUGCCGCGUGUGUGAAGAAGGCCUUCGGGUUGUAAAGCACUUUCAGCAGUGAGGAAGGCGGAGUCGUUAAUAGCGGCCUCGUUUGACGUUAGCUGCAGAAGAAGCACCGGCUAACUCCGUGCCAGCAGCCGCGGUAAUACGGAGGGUGCGAGCGUUAAUCGGAAUUACUGGGCGUAAAGCGCAUGCAGGUGGUUUGUUAAGUCAGAUGUGAAAGCCCGGGGCUCAACCUCGGAAUAGCAUUUGAAACUGGCAGACUAGAGUACUGUAGAGGGGGUAGAAUUUCAGGUGUAGCGGUGAAAUGCGUAGAGAUCUGAAGGAAUACCGGUGGCGAAGGCGGCCCCCUGGACAGAUACUGACACUCAGAUGCGAAAGCGUGGGGAGCAAACAGGAUUAGAUACCCUGGUAG